GGAGGGCAAGUCUGGUGCCAGCAGCCGCGGUAAUUCCAGCUCCAAUAGCGUAUAUUAAAGUUGUUGCAGUUAAGAAGCUCGUAGUUGAAUUUCUGCCUUGUCAUUAAUCUCGCUUCCGAGCGUUUUUUUAUUGGCUUGGCAUCUUCUGGAUUUGGUGCCUUCGGGUACUAUUUUCCAGGAUUUACUUUGAGAAAACUAGAGUGUUUCAAACAGGCAUUCGCCUUGAAUACUACAGCAUGGAAUAAUGAAGUAGGACUUUGGUUCUAUUUUGUUGGUUAUUGAGCCAGAGUAAUGGUUAAUAGGAGCAGUUGGGGGCAUUCGUAUUUAACUGUCAGAGGUGAAAUUCUUAGAUUUGUUAAAGACGAACUAC
rnacentral:rRNA from 1 species